rnacentral:rRNA from 1 species
UACGUAGGGGGCGAGCGUUGUCCGGAUUUAUUGGGCGUAAAGAGCGUGUAGGCGGCCAGGUAGGUCUGCUGUGAAAACUCGAGGCUCAACCUCGAGACGUCGGCGGAAACCAUCUGGCUAGAGUCCGGAAGAGGAGAGUGGAAUUCCUGGUGUAGCGGUGAAAUGCGCAGAUAUCAGGAAGAACACCCGUGGCGAAGGCGGCUCUCUGGGACGGUACUGACGCUGAGGCGCGAAAGCUAGGGGAGCAAACGGG